GGUGUCCACAAAGUGGGGCAGGAUGUUAAAAAUAGUUUUCUGAAACGUCUAACGUCGGUGGACAGAGCCAAGCCGAGCCGGCCGGCCGGCCGGCACAAGCCUUGGGCCCACACAGAAUUCCAUUAGGCAGAAGGAGGAGGAGGAGGAGGAAGAGGAGACACUUGGGUAGAUGACUCGACACCCACACGGUGGCCAUGACCGUGGCCGGCACGGUACGUCAAUGCAGCAAGGUCAUACGUAAUAGAGAGAGGAACGGCAGCAAUGGAAUGCCCCCGGCACACACCCCCUUUCCGGCGCUUUCCUUGCACUUGAACUUGCGCACGCGGCAGCUGCAUGUGCCUCCCCGGCACUCGAGGUGCGGUGCAGAGGGAGGAUUGGGUUGAGGGGCGGCUGCUAUCUACAGCUGGGUGGGUUUUUUGACCUUCAGCCGUGAGCUUUUGCAUCGGAGCUUAUUUUUAGUCCCGAGUCGACAGAGAUGCAGCAAAGCGGCAGAAAGAGAGGGCAAUGCAUUGAAAGGUCAUUCGUUUGACCGAACCCCCGGAGUCCAUGCACUGGAUGAGCGUUCAAGGUCAAAUGGCUGCAGCUGCAGCACACUCCACCGCCCCCAUCCGCCGCACCACGAUAAUUGCCACCUCCCGUACAACUAUGAGGCCUGGCUUUGGGGUUGACAUUGACAUUGACGCAAAUUGCCGAGGGUCAAGCGCACACAUUGCCCGCAGUGGCAGUGGCAGUGGCAGUUGCAGUGGCAGUCGCGCGCUCUGACUGCGUAAUAAAAGUGAAAGAAUGAAUCAAAUUAGUUAAGCGCCACUUCUGUGGAAAGCUUGGGCUACCGAUGGGGCGCCGUGUGGGCUUUGGGAACUGUACAUUGGAUUUCAUUUUAUAUGUGGGAGGCAUAAUUAAAGUAAACGAGAAUGAGCCAAGCAAGGAC
rnacentral:lncRNA from 1 species